UACGUAGGUGGCAAGCGUUGUCCGGAAUUAUUGGGCGUAAAGCGCGCGCAGGCGGCUUCUUAAGUCUGAUGUGAAAUCUCGGGGCUCAACCCCGAGCGGCCAUUGGAAACUGGGAAGCUUGAGUACAGAAGAGGAGAGUGGAAUUCCACGUGUAGCGGUGAAAUGCGUAGAUAUGUGGGAGGAACACCAGUGGCGAAGGCGACUCUCUGGUCUGUAACUGACGCUGAGGCGCGAAAGCGUGGGGAGCAAACAGG
rnacentral:rRNA from 1 species